ensembl:lncRNA
GUUGUUACAAAUCUUUAUUUACGUAUUGUGAUGCUGAACUCGAGCAAAUCAAUUACAAGUAGUGUCUAUAGGAAGAAAAUACGUUACAGUAAAUGUUGCUAAGAGUUUUCUGCCAUGGAGAAAGAGGUUAUUUGGCUUGAGGGACGACAACUGGGUGAAAUUAUGUGACUAAAUAAAGUAUCAUCUAAAACCAAAAUGUUACAGUAACAAUACUAGUACUCCAUGUAUGGGGACUUGAUACCUGUGACAUUCACCUCUUUCACUGUGAGAGCCAAUGUGUGGUGAGCUUAUCUGGCAUAAAAUGGAUGCUGUGCAUCAUCCAGGUUGGUGUGCUACUGUACACAAUGGUAGCAGGUGGGGUGCGUUACUCCCAUGCAAUGUAAAGCACUAUGAAGCUUAUUGAAAAGCGCUGACAUUUUUUAAAAUUGUAUCUGUAUUUUUUUUUCAAACAAGAAAAACCUCAAAAUCAGUCACAUUUUAAUCGUAAUCUCUACAUAUUGUACACAUAAAUUUAAAGUUUGGCACUUUUUUCAGUACUGUGAUAUCUAUAAGAGGAAACACCAUCCAUAUGUGGACGAGCACAUACCAUAGAUACUGUAUUACAGAUAGAAGGCUUAUAAUUUCAUUAUAUAAUGUGUAAAUAUUUCUUACUUCUAUAUUUCAUCAUCUAAGACAUAUGCCUUCUUCCUCCUCCAUAGGUUCCAUUGUUCAAAGUUCAAACACUUUUCAUCAGACAAUGAAACACCAUGGAAUAUUUAUAGGAAGGCCUUCUUGCUGCGCUUUCCCGUUCAAGCGUUGUUGAGAAAAUUAGAAUUUCCGUUACAGGCAUUGGAUUUUUUCUUUGUUUACCAGACCUCCGUAAUGACCAACAGCACUUCCCUUGCAUAGUUUUUACAUGACAUGUGUUUACCUGGGAUGUGAACCCGGGACAUAUUUCUGUCAUGAAAAUGUGACAAAUGGUGGCCCUGGUUGCAAUGCCAUGAUAUUUUACACUUUAAGUAUAGCUUGUGGUAAAAAAAUGAUAGGCCAUGCAUGUGCGCAAAGAGGUGGACACACUUCUCUGUUCAGCUUAUGCCUCCCCUCAAAAAUCAUCCCUUAUUUGUUCCGAUUCUCCCCCUUUCUCCAGAAGUGUGCCUUUCCAAUCUCCCAGGCAUAGAUUUCGAAUAAUUAAAUUGGUGUUGGCAUUAGCUGGAGGGAGUUUCCACCAUUGUUAAAUCCAUGACCAAACAUCUCAACUUCGAUGUCGGCCCACCACCUCAAGCUCUAACUCGUCAAGACAGAACUGCUCUUCCUCCCAGAAAAGGCCUGCCUGCUCAAAGACCUCUCCAUCACGGUUGACAACGCCACAGUGUAACCCUCUCAGAGUGCAAAGAACCUUGGCAUAACCCUGUUGUUCUCUGCAAACAUCAAAGCAGUGACCCGCUCCUGCAGGUUCAUGCUCUACAACAUUCAUACCUCACACAGGAAGCAGUGCAGGUCCUAAUCCAGGCUCUUGUCCUUUCCCGUCUGGACUGCUGCAACUCGCUGUUUGCUGGGCUCCCCACUUGUGCUAUAAACUUAUUCAGAAUGCUGCAGCCCGCAUGGUUUUAAACCUUCCCAAGUUCCCUCAUGUCACCCGCUCCUCCGCACACUCCACUAGCUUCCAGUUGAAGCUCACAUCCACUACAAAACCAUGGUGCUCACCUGCUGAACAAUGAGGAACUUCCCCUCCCUACCUGCAGGCUCUGGUGACCAGCAAGAAGUUACAUUAUGCUGGCUUGCAAAGUGAUGUUUAAUUCCUAUUGGAAUCCAUCCAGAGUGGAUUCAGAAUGACUGCCAGUGUCAAAAAGAUAAACAAAAUUAGACUAAACUUGAACAACCAUUUCAGUCACGGGUGCAAUAAGUCCAACUAAAAGAUUGGAUUAAUUUAGUUAUUUAUCUUUGUGUAGCAAAACAUUCAUUAAUGUAUUCCUUAACCAAUCAAUGUACAUGCAACACAGAUAUUGAAAACAACUAUUCUUAAAAUCUAACUGCAAUGCUGGGAAAUAUGAUACUGAUGGGCGUGGUUUUGCCAACCAGUAAAAUUACUGAUUACUUUGGUGUCAACCUCACUUGGGAUUUGAACUCACAACCUCUCAGUUGCCAGCAACCUGAAUUUCCUGCUACAAUACUGGAUCUGUUCAUGUGACUAUGGUUGUAGUGGUCAUGAAAUUUUGUCAGCCGGUUAUUGUCAUGCGAAAGACUGCCAGUCUCACAGUAAUUGACGGUUAAGUAACAAACAUGUUUAGCAUCUCCAGGCCUCCACUCAUACAAGUUGCUGAUGCUCGCCUUUGGAACAUCUACAUUUAAAGUCUAAUAAAUUAUUUUAAUAUGCACCAUCACAAUAAAUCUAUUGUAUUUUAGACAGCUCUGAAGAAACAUUAUGACAUGAAGAAAAUUUGUUUCAAAAUGUCCCAAAUUAUUGGCUACUAUGCCUGCAGAAAGUAUUCACACCCCUUGACUUUCUCCACAUUUUGUUACAAAGUGGGAUUCAGAAGGACUUAAUUGUAAAAAAAAAUUGCCAACGAUCUUCACAAAAUACUC